UGAUUUUUGUUUCUAUUAUGUUUUAUCUUUUAUUCUUCAUUUCCUUUCCUUCUGAAUUCCUGUUCUAAUUUUUUCUUUGUGAUGGGAUAUGGCUAAUUAUAUGUGGUCACAGAAACUAGCAUCAGAAGGGUCUUUGCUUAUUUUACACACCAGGAGUAACGACUUAAUAUAGUCACAGAUAUCUAUAGAAGAAGUGCCUUAACUUGUUUUAGACUUCAGAUGGGUGUUUGAGUGCUUGCGCUCCUGGGGUGGGUAGGUGGUUGGUUGGUUUGGAAUACAAUAUAUUAUUACUUGAGUUGCAUGUGUAACCAGUUUACUGAAUUUAUGUCCUCGUUUCUAAACUCUACUUGUUCUAUUGAGUUACAUGUCAAAAUCUCAUCUUUGUUAGCAGAUUUUGUACUUAUUGAGUUUGUAACAAUGUUUUUGCAGCAUAGCUGAUAAUACUUUUCCCUGAAAUUUAAAAAUACUUUGCUGUUAGCAAAUAGUUGGGGCCCUCCUUAGCCAAUCAUAGCCAGCCUGAUUUGGUUGUGUUGUUUUCAUGAACUUAAUGAGUAAGCACUUGUGGCAGGUCGACUCUAGUACUUCUUGGCAUCGAAACCUAAACUCAUCUGCCGCUGUUGCAUUUAGAUAUAUGCAUGCUUCAGAUCCCUGUUCUUUGGCUCGUGUUGCAACAUUAGCUCAGAGAAGAAAUGGGGAUUAAGUAUUGUAAGCUAAUCUGGAGCUUGUCCGCAUGAUGCGAAAAUAUUGUAACAUACCAUGCUGAACCAGGAGCCUUAGCUGAAUUGACCAAGAGCUGUGGAGCUAAUUUUGUUGGGAAAUUUGUUUUCCAAUCGCGGCCUCGCUCUCAAUGUAUAAUAGCUCUCUAUGUUUAUUUUGUUUCUUUUUCCUCUGGGGUGAGGUUGGGGUGCAAUUAUUUUUAUUAUUAUAUUUUUCCCCUCUUGAAUUGAGAAGCAAAUUCCCCAUGAUCUGCGAUGUUUAUUUUCCUCCUAAAAUGAACUGUAACAUGCAUUUCACUGAUUUAAUUUCUUCCUUUUUGUCGUCUCAUAAUGUAAUGCUUUGUGCACGUCUAGUUAGGGCAUUGUUUGACUUA